UGCUCAGAACAUCAUCCCUGCAUCCACUGGUGCUGCCAAGGCUGUGGGUAAGGUCAUCCCAGAGCUGAAUGGGAAGCUCACUGGCAUGGCCUUCCAUGUUCCUAUCCACAAUGUAUUCAUCAUGGAUCUGACCUGCCACCUGGAGAAACUUGCCAAGUAUGGUGAUAUCAGGAAGGCAAUAAAGCAGGCAUCUGAGGACCCAUUAAAGGCUCAUGUUGAGACCACAGGAUAGCAAGUGGCC
rnacentral:lncRNA from 1 species